rnacentral:ncRNA from 1 species
UAGAAAAAGCCUAACCUGCCGCAAGGCAGGGGCGGAAAGCCACGGAUCUCCGGGAGGCGAGAUGGCCGGGUUGCCUA